rnacentral:hammerhead_ribozyme from 1 species
AUUCAGCUGACGAGUCCCAAAUAGGACGAAACGCGUGUCCUGAAU